CAGUCCAGCUGCUAGCAAAUUUUUAUUUAGGGUUUUAGGGAAUCCCACCCGUCCUCCUCCCGCGCGCGCUCUUGCCCGCUCGUAGGCCCUUCAACAUGAGCAGAUCAGGCCAGCUACCGGAUCUCAAGAAUCAAGUUGAAUGCAAAUCGGAUGGUUGUUGGAACGCUUCGUGGUUUUGACCAGUUUAUGAAUCUAGUGGUUGAUAACACCGUGGAAGUGAACGGAAAUGAGAAAAAUUAUAUAGGAACGGUGUUGGGUGAUCAGAGGAAAUAGCGUGGUCACUGUUGAGGCUCUUGAACCAGUGAACAGAACUUAGUAGUUUCAUAAUGCUUCGGAUUCUGUGUGUGAUCUAGCGUUUGCUUUGGAUAGUAUGGCUAUUAUUGUGGGAAGGAAGGUGUUCUGAUAAUCUGGAUUGGGUGCUGAUUUUGUGGAGCAGUUUUAGAUCUUAUUUCUGCAUUCCUAUUUUCAAGCAGAUUUAAUAGUAUUGUUUAUUUCUUCUAUGGAUGCUGUUGGAAUAGCCAUGACUUUGGUCAAUAUAGUUCUGAUACUUUAUAA